GUGGGGAAUAUUGGGCAAUGGGGGAAACCCUGACCCAGCAACGCCGCGUGAAGGAAGAAGGCUUUCGGGUUGUAAACUUCUUUUAUGAGGGACGAAGAAGUGACGGUACCUCAUGAAUAAGCCACGGCUAACUACGUGCCAGCAGCCGCGGUAAUACGUAGGUGGCAAGCGUUGUCCGGAUUUACUGGGUGUAAAGGGCGCGUAGGCGGGAUAGCAAGUCAGGUGUGAAAUCCGGGGGCUUAACCCUCGAACUGCACUUGAAACUGUUAUUCUUGAGUGAUGGAGAGGCAAGCGGAAUUCCUAGUGUAGCGGUGAAAUGCGUAGAUAUUAGGAGGAACACCAGUGGCGAAGGCGGCUUGCUGGACAUUAACUGACGCUGAGGCGCGAGAGCGUGGGGAGCAAACAGGAUUAGAAACCCCAGUAGUCC
rnacentral:rRNA from 1 species